AGUGAACGCUGGCGGCAGGCCUAACACAUGCAAGUCGAACGUCAGCACAGCAGUAGCAAUACUGUGGGUGGCGAGUGGCGGACGGGUGAGGAAUGCGCCGGAAUAUGCCCAGUCGUGGGGGAUAACGUAGGGAAACUUACGCUAAUACAGCAUACGACCGAGGGGGGAAAGCGGGGGAUCGCAAGACCUCGGGCGCUUGGAUGAGGCGAUGCCGGAUGAGCUAGUUGGCGGGGGAAAAGCCCCCCAAGGCGACGAUCCGUAGCUGGUCUGAGAGGAUGAUCACCCACACUGGAACUGAGACACGGUCCAGACUCCUACGGGAGGCAGCAGUGGGGAAUAUUGGACAAUGGGCGCAAGCCUGAUCCAGCCAUGCCGCGUGGGUGAAGAAGGCCUUCGGGUUGUAAAGCCCUUUUGUCCGGAAAGAAAAGCUUCGGGUUAAUAACCCGGGGUCAUGACGGUACCGGAAGAAUAAGCACCGGCUAACUUCGUGCCAGCAGCCGCGGUAA
rnacentral:rRNA from 1 species